rnacentral:rRNA from 1 species
AUACGGAGGGUGCGAGCGUUAAUCGGAAUUACUGGGCGUAAAGCGUGCGUAGGCGGUUUGCUAAGUCAGAUGUGAAAGCCCCGGGCUUAACCUGGGAACUGCAUUUGAUACUGACAGACUAGAGUAUGAUAGAGGGGGGUAGAAUUCCUGGUGUAGCGGUGAAAUGCGUAGAUAUCAGGAGGAAUACCAGUGACGAAGGCGGCCCCCUGGAUCAAUACUGACGCUGAGGUACGAAAGCGUGGGGAGCGAACAGGAUUAGAUACCCCAGUAGUCC